rnacentral:rRNA from 1 species
UGGGGAAUUUUGCACAAUGGGCGCAAGCCUGAUGCAGCCAUGCCGCGUGUAUGAAGAAGGCCUUCGGGUUGUAAAGUACUUUCAGCGGGGAGGAAGGGAGUAAAGUUAAUACCUUUGCUCAUUGACGUUACCCGCAGAAGAAGCACCGGCUAACUCCGUGCCAGCAGCCGCGGGAAUACGGAGGGUGCAAGCGUUAAUCGGAAUUACUGGGCGUAAAGCGCACGCAGGCGGUGUGUUAAGUCAGAUGUGAAAUCCCCGGGCUCAACCUAGGAACUGCAGCUAAUACUGGGAAGCUUGAGUCUCGUGGGGGGGGGUGGAAUUCCAGGUGUAGCGGUGAAAUGCGUAGAGAUCUGGAGGAAUACCGGUGGCGAAGGCGGCCCCCUGGACGAAGACUGACGCUCGGGUGCGAAAGCGUGGGGAGCAAACAGG